AUGGCCGAGCUGGAGCACUUGGGCGGGAAGCGGGCUGAGUCGGCGCGGGCGCGGCGGGCCGAGCAGCUGCGGCGCUGGCGGGGCUCGCCGACCGAGCAGGAGCCCGCUGACCGGCCGGGCGCGGGGCCGCAGGCUCGGCGCGGGGGCCCGCGGGUCCGCUUCGAGGACGGCGCUGUGUUCCUGGCCGCCUGCUCCAGCGGGGACACCGACGAAGUGAGGCGGCUCCUGGCCCGGGGCGCCGACGUGGACACGGCCAACGUGGACGGCCUGACCGCGCUGCACCAGGCCUGCAUAGACGAGAACCUGGAUGUGGUGAAGUUUCUGGUGGAGAACGGAGCCAGCGUCAACCAGCAGGACAACGAGGGCUGGACGCCCCUGCACGCGGCAGCGUCCUGUGGCUACCUCAACAUAGCAGAGUAUUUCAUUAACCAUGGAGCCUGCGUGGGCAUCGUCAACAACGAAGGCGAAGUCCCCUCUGACCUUGCAGAAGAGCCUGCCAUGAAGGACCUUCUUCUGGAGCAGGUGAAGAAGCAAGGGCUGGACCUCGAGCAGGCGCGGCGGCAGGAGGAACAGCAGAUGCUGCAGGACGCCCGCCAGUGGCUCAACAGCGGCAGGAUCGCCGACGUGAGGCAGGCGCGCUCGGGGGCCACUGCCCUGCACGUGGCUGCGGCCAAGGGCUACUCCGAGGUCCUCAGACUUUUGAUUCAGGCUGGCUGUGAGCUCAACGUCCAGGAUCACGAUGGGUGGACCCCGCUGCACGCGGCUGCGCACUGGGGCGUGAAGGAGGCCUGCUCCAUCCUGGCAGAGGCCCUCUGCGACAUGGACGUCAGGAACAAGCUGGGCCAGACGCCGUUCGACGUGGCCGACGAGGGCCUGGCGGAGCACCUGGAGGCGCUGCAGAAGAGGCAGGGCGUGCUUCGAAGUGAAAAAGAGACACGGGAUAAGCUCAUCGAAUCAGACCUGAACAGCGAGCUGCACAGUAGACUCUUCAAGAACAAAGAGAAGAUGCUCUGUGAGGAGGAGACGCCCAAGUCCCAGCGAGCAGAGGAGGAGAGCAAAGAGUCCAGCAGCUCCAGCUCCGAGGAGGAUGAGGGGGAGGACGAGGCCUCGGAGUCAGAGGCCGAGAAGGAGGCGGGGGACCCUGAGGCCGUCCGUCCGCAGAGCGCGGGGGGCCGCCGCGUGUCAGAAGAUGGCGGGCCGGGCGCCGUCCCCAGCCGUCCCAGCUCUGACUGCGGGAGCAGCGUCGCGGAGCGGACCCCCGCAGCCCCGCAGAGCGCCGUCCCCGCCGCUUCCGCCAGGAGACCCUCCAGCCUCUUCAGCAAGCCGGAAGAGACCAGGGACGAGUCUCCGUGUUCGUGGAGGCUGGGCCUCAGGAAGACCGGCAGCCAGAAUGUGCUGAGCGAGGCCGCAGGGGCCAGGGAGGCCCUGCGGGACCGGGGCGCAUCUGUCCACCGCUCGGCCUCCAGCCCCCGCAUCUCCACCCUGAUGGAUAGCAGAGAAAAGGAGAGAGAAACCAGAAGCUCCUUGAGUUCACUGGGGCUGCGGAGGCCGGGCAGCACGAGCGACCUUGAAGAGAAGGAGAACAGAGAGUCAGCUGCUAACCUGGUGUGCAGUGGCUCCCAGCCCCGGCAGCCCUGGAGGGACGCAGCCAAGGGGAGCGAGGCCCCGCAGACGGUGGCUCCCUCCACCUACGUGUCGACCUUCCUGAAAAGGUCGUAUCUGACUCCCGUCCGGGACGAGGAAGCAGAGUCCUUACGGAAGGCGCGCUCCAGACAGGCUCGGCAGACUCGAAGGUCUACCCAAGGCGUCACCCUCACGGACCUUCAGGAAGCGGAGAGGACGUUCAGCCGGUCAAGGGUAGAGCGUCAGGCUCAGGAGCAGCCCAGCCUGAAGCCCGUGGGUCCCGGAGCACUUGAGGGCGGCCCCCGGAAGCACGAGCCCUUGGCGGCCCCUGCCCAGGAAGCCGGGGAGAGCCACCAGCCCUGGGGCCGGAGCCCGGAGGGAGAGCGUCCAGGUCAGCCCGAGCAGCCCACGGCGCCGGCGUCCCCUUCCGCCCCGAGACCCUCGCUCUACACCAGCUCCUACCUGCUCCGGACGGGUGGGUCCUCUGCGCCCGCCGCGCAGAGCUCAGAGCCCCCCGCAGGCACUGCCGGGACGCGGGACAUGGACAGAAACGAGGGCGGAGAAGCAGAGCCGGGCGACCAGUCCUCCGGCAGGAUGUCCGUCCGCGAGAGGAGGCGGCCCCGGGAGCGCCGGCGGGGCACGGGCAUCAACUUCUGGACGAAGGACGAAGAUGAAACGGAAGUCCCGGAAGAGGUGAAGAAAGCGUGGCGUGAGCGACUCUCCAGGCUGGAAUCUGGAGGCAGCGACGCAUCCACUGAGCGGGCCUCAGCCAGAGCCCGCCGGGAGGCCCGCGAGGCCCGCCUGGCCACUCUGAGCAGCCGCGCAGAGGAGGACGGCAGUAGGGACUACAGGAAGCUCUACGAGAGCGCCCUGACCGAGAACCAGAAGCUGAAGACAAAACUUCAGGAGGCCCAGCUCGAGCUGGCGGACGUGAAGUCCAGGCUUGAGAAGAUGGCCCAGAAGCAAGACAAGACUCCUGAGCGGUCGUCGGCACUGGAGACGGAGAAGCGGGAGAGGCGGGCCCUGGAGCGGAAGAUGUCGGAGAUGGAAGAGGAAGUGAAGAACCUUCACCAGCUAAAACAGAUUCAGACCUUGAAGCACGUGAACGAGCAGCUGCAGGCUGAGAACCGGGCUCUGACCCGGGUUGUGGCCAGACUCUCGGAGGCCGUCGAGGGCUCGGACCCCCAGGGGCCCUAGUCCUCCCCGCCACUCCAG
rnacentral:lncRNA from 1 species